GACGAACGCUGGCGGCGUGCCUAAUACAUGCAAGUCGAGCGGAUCUUGUCCUUCGGGAUAAGGUUAGCGGCGGACGGGUGAGUAACACGUAGGCAACCUGCCCUCGAGACUGGGAUAACCUCCGGAAACGGAUGCUAAUACCAGAUACGCGAUCUUCCCUCCUGGGGAGAUCGGGAAAGACGGAGCAAUCUGUUACUCGGGGAUGGGCCUGCGGCGCAUUAGCUAGUUGGUGAGGUAACGGCUCACCAAGGCGACGAUGCGUAGCCGACCUGAGAGGGUGAUCGGCCACACUGGGACUGAGACACGGCCCAGACUCCUACGGGAGGCAGCAGUAGGGAAUCUUCCGCAAUGGACGAAAGUCUGACGGAGCAACGCCGCGUGAGUGAGGAAGGCCUUCGGGUCGUAAAGCUCUGUUGCCAGGGAAGAACGCUUGGGAGAGUAACUGCUCCCAAGGUGACGGACCUGAGAAGAAAGCCC
rnacentral:rRNA from 1 species